CUAGGGCUACACACGUACUACAAUGGCAGGUACAAAGGGCAGCGACACAGCGAUGUGAUGCGAAUCCCGAAAAGCCUGUCUCAGUCCGGAUCGGAGUCUGCAACUCGACUCCGUGAAGUUGGAAUCGCUAGUAAUCGUGGAUCAGCAUGCCACGGUGAAUACGUUCCCGGGCCUU
rnacentral:rRNA from 1 species